AGAGAAACAAAGUGUGUUAAACAAGGAAAGAUUCAGUAUCAACUUCACGACGCGAAACAGGUCGAUAUUCAUAUUACAAAAUAUCAAAAAGCUGUCA